rnacentral:rRNA from 1 species
UUCUUGGUCAUUUAGAGGAAGUAAAAGUCGUAACAAGGUCUCCGUUGGUGAACCAGCGGAGGGAUCAUUACUGAGUUUACGCUCUAUAACCCUUUGUGAACAUACCUAUAACUGUUGCUUCGGCGGGUAGGGUCUCCGCGACCCUCCCGGCCUCCCGCCUCCGGGCGGGUCGGCGCCCGCCGGAGGAUAACCAAACUCUGAUUUAACGACGUUUCUUCUGAGUGGUACAAGCAAAUAAUCAAAACUUUUAACAACGGAUCUCUUGGUUCUGGCAUCGAUGAAGAACGCAGCGAAAUGCGAUAAGUAAUGUGAAUUGCAGAAUUCAGUGAAUCAUCGAAUCUUUGAACGCACAUUGCGCCCGCCAGCAUUCUGGCGGGCAUGCCUGUUCGAGCGUCAUUUCAACCCUCAAGCUCUGCUUGGUGUUGGGGCCCUACAGCUGAUGUAGGCCCUCAAAGGUAGUGGCGGACCCUCCCGGAGCCUCCUUUGCGUAGUAACUUUACGUCUCGCACUGGGAUCCGGAGGGACUCUUGCCGUAAAACCCCCCAANUUCCAAAGGUGACCUCGGAUC